CAGGUUUCUAGCAUAUGACCAGCAUUAUAAAACUAUUGUUGUAAGUACUUUUGGGACUGGUACCUAUCAUUGGCAGCAUACCUUUAAUUCUUUAAUCGCUACUGAUUUUUAGCUGGUAUAUAAACUUGUGUUUGAGGAAGCUGGGGUUUGAGUAGUUUUGUAUCUUAUAAGAACUUGGUUCUCUGAGUGAAUUCCCAAGAGGUAGUAGAGGUGAUUUUAAACAAAGAUCUGACUUUAAAGCAUAUGGACUAGCACUACUUGUUGAAGACCAUUCUCCACCUGAGACUGACAGCAAAAUGGAGGCUACCAGGUUACCACUGUGGAUGUAUGGACUCAUUUGUUUUGUGUCUCAUCACUUUCCACACUAUGGACUUUACCAACUCUCCAAUGCCAUGUAUCUAGUUUCAUUGAUAUGUUUUCCAAUCACUUAUGUUUUGUCUCAUCUUUAACUUGCAAAUAGUGUCAAUUAUAGAACUACAUUGGA